CUCCUAGUGGCAGUAUCGUAGCCAAUGAGGUUUAUCCGAGGCGCGAUUAUUGCUAAUUGAAAACUUUUCCCAAAAACACUCCUAGAGCUAAUAGUCUGAAAACAAGACAGACAUUAGUAAGAUAAUCACAUUUAAUGU